rnacentral:rRNA from 1 species
UACGUAGGGCGCAAGCGUUGUCCGGAUUCACUGGGUUUAAAGGGUGCGUAGGCGGACUUGUAAGUCAGUGGUGAAAUCUCUCAGCUUAACUGAGAAACUGCCAUUGAUACUGCAGGUCUAGAGUAUAGAUGACGUUGGCGGAAUAUGACAUGUAGUGGUGAAAUACUUAGAUAUGUCAUAGAACACCGAUUGCGAAGGCAGCUAACGAAACUAUAACUGACGCUGAGGCACGAAAGUGCGGGGAUCAAACAGG